AGGGUUUGAUUAUGGCUCAGGAUGAACGCUGGCGGCGUGCUUAACACAUGCAAGUCGAACGAAGCGGUUUAGCGGAAGUUUUCGGAUGGAAGUUAAACUGACUGAGUGGCGGACGGGUGAGUAACGCGUGGGUAACCUGCCUCACACAGGGGGACAACAGCUAGAAAUGGCUGCUAAUACCGCAUAAGCGCACAGCUUCGCAUGAAGCAGUGUGAAAAACUCCGGUGGUGUGAGAUGGACCCGCGUCUGAUUAGCUAGUUGGUGAGGUAACGGCUCACCAAGGCGACGAUCAGUAGCCGACCUGAGAGGGUGACCGGCCACAUUGGGACUGAGACACGGCCCAA
rnacentral:rRNA from 1 species